UUAAGCGACUAAGCGUACACGGUGGAUGCCCUGGCAGUCAGAGGCGAUGAAGGACGUGCUAAUCUGCGAAAAGCGUCGGUAAGGUGAUAUGAACCGUUACAGCCGGCGAUGUCCGAAUGGGGAAACCCAGUGCAAUACGUUGCACUAUCGUUAACUGAAUACAUAGGUUAACGAGGCGAACCGGGGGAACUGAAACAUCUAAGUACCCCGAGGAAAAGAAAUCAACCGAGAUUCCCCCAGUAGCGGCGAGCGAACGGGGAGCAGCCCAGAGUCUGAAUCAGCUUGUGUGUUAGUGGAACGGUCUGGAAAGUCCGACGGUACAGGGUGAUAGUCCCGUACACCAAAAUGCACAGGCUGUGAACUCGAAGAGUAGGGCGGGACACGUGGUAUCCUGUCUGAAUAUGGGGGGACCAUCCUCCAAGGCUAAAUACUCCUGACUGACCGAUAGUGAACCAGUACCGUGAGGGAAAGGCGAAAAGAACCCCGGCGAGGGGAGUGAAAAAGAACCUGAAACCGUGUACGUACAAGCAGUGGGAGCACCUUCGGGUGUGACUGCGUACCUUUUGUAUAAUGGGUCAGCGACUUAUAUUCUGUAGCAAGGUUAACCGUAUAGGGGAGCCGCAGGGAAACCGAGUCUUAACUGGGCGUUAAGUUGCAGGGUAUAGACCCGAAACCCGGUGAUCUAGCCAUGGGCAGGUUGAAGGUUGGGUAACACUAACUGGAGGACCGAACCGACUAAUGUUGAAAAAUUAGCGGAUGACUUGUGGCUGGGGGUGAAAGGCCAAUCAAACCGGGAGAUAGCUGGUUCUCCCCGAAAGCUAUUUAGGUAGCGCCUCGUGAACUCAUCUUCGGGGGUAGAGCACUGUUUCGGCUAGGGGGUCAUCCCGACUUACCAACCCGAUGCAAACUACGAAUACCGAAGAAUGUUAUCACGGGAGACACACGGCGGGUGCUAACGUCCGUCGUGAAGAGGGAAACAACCCAGACCGCCAGCUAAGGUCCCAAAGUCAUGGUUAAGUGGGAAACGAUGUGGGAAGGCACAGACAGCCAGGAUGUUGGCUUAGAAGCAGCCAUCAUUUAAAGAAAGCGUAAUAGCUCACUGGUCGAGUCGGCCUGCGCGGAAGAUGUAACGGGGCUAAACCAUGCACCGAAGCUGCGGCAGCGACACUAUGUGUUGUUGGGUAGGGGAGCGUUCUGUAAGCCUGCGAAGGUGACCUGUGAGGGUUGCUGGAGGUAUCAGAAGUGCGAAUGCUGACAUAAGUAACGAUAAAGCGGGUGAAAAGCCCGCUCGCCGGAAGACCAAGGGUUCCUGUCCAACGUUAAUCGGGGCAGGGUGAGUCGACCCCUAAGGCGAGGCCGAAAGGCGUAGUCGAUGGGAAACAGGUUAAUAUUCCUGUACUUGGUGUUACUGCGAAGGGGGGACGGAGAAGGCUAUGUUAGCCGGGCGACGGUUGUCCCGGUUUAAGCAUGUAGGCUGAUUAUCCAGGCAAAUCCGGAUAAUCAAGGCUGAGGUGUGAUGACGAGGCACUACGGUGCUGAAGUAACAAAUGCCCUGCUUCCAGGAAAAGCCUCUAAGCAUCAGGUAACAUCAAAUCGUACCCCAAACCGACACAGGUGGUCAGGUAGAGAAUACCAAGGCGCUUGAGAGAACUCGGGUGAAGGAACUAGGCAAAAUGGUGCCGUAACUUCGGGAGAAGGCACGCUGGUGUGUAGGUGAAGUCCCUGCGGAUGGAGCUGAGACCAGUCGAAGAUACCAGCUGGCUGCAACUGUUUAUUAAAAACACAGCACUGUGCAAACACGAAAGUGGACGUAUACGGUGUGACGCCUGCCCGGUGCCGGAAGGUUAAUUGAUGGGGUUAUCCGUAAGGAGAAGCUCUUGAUCGAAGCCCCGGUAAACGGCGGCCGUAACUAUAACGGUCCUAAGGUAGCGAAAUUCCUUGUCGGGUAAGUUCCGACCUGCACGAAUGGCGUAAUGAUGGCCAGGCUGUCUCCACCCGAGACUCAGUGAAAUUGAACUCGCUGUGAAGAUGCAGUGUACCCGCGGCAAGACGGAAAGACCCCGUGAACCUUUACUAUAGCUUGACACUGAACAUUGAGCCUUGAUGUGUAGGAUAGGUGGGAGGCUUUGAAGCGUGGACGCCAGUCUGCGUGGAGCCAACCUUGAAAUACCACCCUUUAAUGUUUGAUGUUCUAACGUUGGCCCCUUAUCGGGGUUGCGGACAGUGUCUGGUGGGUAGUUUGACUGGGGCGGUCUCCUCCCAAAGCGUAACGGAGGAGCACGAAGGUUAGCUAAUCCUGGUCGGACAUCAGGAGGUUAGUGCAAUGGCAUAAGCUAGCUUGACUGCGAGCGUGACGGCGCGAGCAGGUGCGAAAGCAGGUCAUAGUGAUCCGGUGGUUCUGAAUGGAAGGGCCAUCGCUCAACGGAUAAAAGGUACUCCGGGGAUAACAGGCUGAUACCGCCCAAGAGUUCAUAUCGACGGCGGUGUUUGGCACCUCGAUGUCGGCUCAUCACAUCCUGGGGCUGAAGUAGGUCCCAAGGGUAUGGCUGUUCGCCAUUUAAAGUGGUACGCGAGCUGGGUUUAGAACGUCGUGAGACAGUUCGGUCCCUAUCUGCCGUGGGCGCUGGAGAAUUGAGGGGGGCUGCUCCUAGUACGAGAGGACCGGAGUGGACGCAUCACUGGUGUUCGGGUUGUCAUGCCAAUGGCACUGCCCGGUAGCUAAAUGCGGAAGAGAUAAGUGCUGAAAGCAUCUAAGCACGAAACUUGCCCCGAGAUGAGUUCUCCCUGAGACUUUAAGUCUCCUGAAGGAACGUUAAAGACGAUGACGUUGAUAGGCCGGGUGUGUAAGCGCAGCGAUGCGUUGAGCUAACCGGUACUAAUGAACCGUGAGGCUUAACCUU
rnacentral:rRNA from 1 species